UACGGAGGGUGCAAGCGUUAGUCGGAAUUACUGGGCGUAAAGGGUGCGUAGGCGGGGAUGUAAGUCAUAUGUGAAAUACUGAAGCUCAACUUCAGCUGUGCAUAUGAAACUGCGUUUCUAGAGGAAGAGCGGAGAAAACGGAAUUCCACGUGUAGCGGUGAAAUGCGUAGAUAUGUGGAAGAACACCUGUGGCGAAAGCGGUUUUCUAGCUUAUUCCUGACGCUGAGGCACGAAAGCAAGGGGAGCAAACAGG
rnacentral:rRNA from 1 species